UACGUAGGGGGCGAGCGUUGUCCGAAGUUACUGGGCGUAAAGCGCGCGUAGGCGGGGGAUUAAGUGAGAGGUGAAAGGCUGAGGCUCAACCUCAUGCAGUGCCUCUCAUACUGGUCUUCUUGAGGGCGGUAGGGAGAAGUGGAAUGGCUGGUGUAGCGGUGAAAUGCGUAGAUAUCAGGAGGAACACCGGUGGCGAAGGCGGGUCUCUGGGCCGAAAAUUGACGCUGAGGAGCGAAAGCGUGGGGAGCAAACAGGA
rnacentral:rRNA from 1 species